ACUGCCCUCGAGCGAAAUCAAAUGAACGAGGCCCCCUCGACUCCUUUCUCGAUCUGUUUCCUAGGGUGUGAACGCCGCCGCCGCUGAUCCCAUCUUCCCCAGCGCCUAGAUCCGCAGCCGCCGGCCAUCGAGGUCGUCCAUGGAGGUCCGACCCUCCCUUUAGCCAUGGACUGAGACGCCCGAAACCCUAGCUACCCGUGGAGGUCCAACGCCUCAACCUCCAAGGAAAGGACGCGCGCCGGCUGCAGGCCAUCUCCGGCGACCUCCGACCAUGAUUGCUCGGAUCUGGACCAGCUGCUGCUCCUACUGCUUCAGGUGGACGAGGACGAGCCCUCCCUCAUGGCUGCUGCGGCUGCCUACUCCCUUGGUCACCACGCCCCUCCCGUGCCUGGGGUCUCCUUUCUCUCCCGCAGCGGCCGCAGUAGGCGCGUGUGGCUAGAAGGGUUGAGGGAGCGAGGUCAGUGCCCUCAGGGCGGACGCGGCUGGAGGUCAACGACGAGCAAGGGGCACGGCGGCGGCAGGUGGCUGCUGUAGCAGAACCAGCCAUCUUCCUGAUCCAGGCUGCCCAGGCAGGUUCCAGCCGGGCAUCCGCUGGCCACGCGCAUAAAUGUAUCAGGAAUGAGCCGGCCGUUCUACAGUCGUAAGUUUGUUUCUG
rnacentral:rRNA from 1 species